rnacentral:rRNA from 1 species
UCCUACGGGGGGCAGCAGUAGGGAAUUUUCGUCAAUGGGCGCAAGCCUGAACGAGCAAUGCCGCGUGAACGAGGAAGGUCUUCGGAUCGUAAAGUUCUGUUGAAGGGGAAAAGAGCGGAGAGAGGAAAUGAACUCCGAUUGAUAUUACCCUUCGAGGAAGUCACGGCUAACUACGUGCCAGCAGCCGCGGUAAUACGUAGGUGGCGAGCGUUAUCCGGAAUGAUUGGGCGUAAAGGGCGCGUAGGCGGCCUGCUAAGUCUGAAGUGAAAGGUACCGGCUCAACCGGUACAGGCUCUGGAAACUGG